UUUCUCUCACACUUCUGGGUCAGAUGCAGAGUUCACAAAGGUGUACUAGCUUUGCAUCAUUUCUAGCUAGACGCAAAAUGGCUCAGUAUGGUUUCAGUCCGAGCAUCAGCAGUGAACAAUUGUGAGCACUUGUACAGGUUCAUUAUUUUGACAGGUUCAUUUUCUUUUGGUGCUACAACAUAUUCAUCUGCUGAGAUUGUACUCGCACUUUUUGUGCUGGUGUUUCAGAACUUCUAAAUCAUGUUGCUUCUACUCUUGAAAUGUUAAUCACUCUUUGUAUGGAAGCAUUAUAUUCACCACUGCUCGUCUCAGGUUUCCUUGUUGGCGGACAACAUGGUUACAUUUGGUCCAAAAACAUCAAAUUCAGUGAAUUUUAAUAGCAAUCUGUUUGAUUGUUAAACAUGUUGGACGGAACACCAGCUCUCCUUGUUUGUGCAUUAUGAGAUCAAGUGUGGACUACUGAUAUUCUUUGGAAAUUAGCAUUUUAUUUGAACAUUUGGAGUUUUAAGUUUGUUAGCUAUAUAAACUGAGACGAAUAUUUUCCUCGCCAAGAUGGAACAAAAAAAAUGUUUGCUUU